UACGUAGGUGACAAGCGUUGUCCGGAUUUACUGGGCGUAAAGAGCGUGCAGGCGGUCGAUCAAGUCGAGUGUGAAAGCCCCCGGCUCAACUGGGGAGGGUCAUUCGAUACUGAUCGACUCGAAGGCAGGAGAGGGUAGUGGAAUUCCCGGUGUAGUGGUGAAAUGCGUAGAUAUCGGGAGGAACACCAGUGGCGAAGGCGACUACCUGGCCUGUUCUUGACGCUGAGGCGCGAAAGCUAGGGGAGCAAACGGG
rnacentral:rRNA from 1 species